GACGAACGCUGGCGGCGUGCCUAACACAUGCAAGUCGAGCGGGAACCUCGGGAGGGGUAACCCUUCCGUGGGGAGAGCGGCGAACGGGUGAGUAACACGUGGGCAACCUGCCCCGGACACCGGGAUAACCCAGGGAAACCUGAGCUAAUACCGGAUACUCCGGCGUGAUCGCAUGGUCGCGCCGGGAAAGCCCCGACGGUCCGGGAUGGGCCCGCGGCCUAUCAGCUUGUUGGUGGGGUAACGGCCCACCAAGGCGACGACGGGUAGCUGGUCUGAGAGGACGGCCAGCCACACUGGGACUGAGACACGGCCCAGACUCCUACGGGAGGCAGCAGUGGGGGAUCUUGCGCUAAUGCGCGAAAGCGUGACGCAGCGACGCCGCGUGGGGGAUGAAGGCCCUCGGGUUGUAAACCCCUUUCGGCAGGGACGAAGCGAAAGUGACGGUACCUGCAGAAGAAGUCCCGGCUAACUACGUGCCAGCCGCCGCGGUAAUAC
rnacentral:rRNA from 1 species